AGAGGAAGGAGAGAUCAUGGCGGACGGGAGGCAAGACUAGCCUGCAGCUCUGGACAGAGCAGCGAGUGGGAGCUCGCAUUGUAAACUUUAGCUCCAGAUGGACGGCAAAAACAAACCAGCAAUCCCCAGAGGACCCACAGACCCUCUGAAGGAAGUGGGCUGCUCCUGCAGGACCCGGGAGACCCCCAAAACUGUGAGUGUCCAGCUGCCGAAGUGGGAAAGGGAAACCCUCCUCUCCGGAACAGACACCCCCUGAGAAGUCUAUUUGUGGGAGAAGUUUCCGACUUUACCUGGAGCUGAGUCAGUCUGGAGAGCUGACUGAAAUACAGGGAUAGAGGAGGCAGCAGCAAGGCCCUGGGAGCUGAAUGGGUCCCCGGGCAGCCCAUUCCUGCCUGGCACCACAGGGAUCCAACGGGAGAGGAACAGAGGGUAAAACUACACGGAGAGAAGGAAAUCUCUAGCUGAACUUUGUAACAAUUCGAACAGCGUGAGAAGUCUCCUGGCCAGAACUCGGGGGAGGACACAAAUCUCCUGCACAGUUAAUAUCCAGAGUCACACGUGGAGAGGAAGCAUCACAAUGAGACCAUACAACCAUAUAAUCUGUUCAAGUCCUAGAAGGUGUUGGCAGAGCUGCAGGACUGACCUAGGUCAAUGGCUGUGGGGUAAGGAGAGA